CAACAUGUGCUUAAUUCCACCAGCGCCAAAUGAGGAACACCCCACUGGAAAUGCUGACACCCCGCCAGCACCAAACAAGGAACUUAUUGGAAAUUCUGACACCCAAUCGCCAACAAGUGAGGAACAACUCAUUGUAAAUCCUGACACCCAUCACCACCCAUCAAGAGACACCUCUUCGGGAUGUCUCUCCUGAGUGUGUGUGAGGAUGGCAAUCUGCCUACUCCAGUACUGGGCAUGCUCUCUAUUAUUGAGGAAAAGGGACUACAUACGGAGAAGAUCUUCAGAACAAUAGCCAACAAAUCCUUCCAAACCCUUAAAGAAAAGCUUGAUAAUGGGGAGGAAGUCAACUUGACUGAGGAAUCUGUCCUUGUUGUUGCAUCUGUCUUAAAGCAGUGAGCAAUGGAACAACUUCUGAAUCCAGUACCAUCGAAGGUCAUAGUGUUCUACAGAACCAAAAACUGGAGGAUGAUGAUUGAGUCAGCAUCUGGAUCGGCCAAGCUAUCUUUCUGCCCAUGAUUUUCUCAGUAACUGGAGACAUGAGUCUCCAGAACUCCAUUGGGCUACAUCCUUCACUUUCUAUAUUAUUCUACUGAAAACUAGUUUUGGAAACCACUUACAACAUUUAACAGAAUUUGUUUGAAUCUUCUGGUUUUGUCCAGAAAUGAGAAUUCCUUUAAAUGAUAUUGAACAUGCCACCAUCAACCAAUAGAGAAACCCAAAGUGAUAUUUUUAGAGUAUGAAUUUGAGCCAUGAGUAAGAACUUCUCAGGUUCCAACUCAUUUUAUUUGAGGGUUUUCUUCUACCUCACACUUACCCAUAGUUUAGAAAACCUUAUUAUAUGACAUUCCUUCUGUUCUUCUAUUUUAUCAUAUUUGCUACAAAUAGUUUCA